CUGUCGCUGAUGUCUGAGCUGAUGGGCUUUUCACCUGGGUUCCUUGCUGUGCAGGUCAUCGAGGACCUGACCCACAAAAUGGGGAAUUUCAAGCAGUUUGGGGAUUUUCUGCAGCAUGCUGGAGUCAGUGCUGAUGCAGAGCAGCAAGUCCAUCAGCCUGGAGCUCCUCACCUAUGCUGACCUGGAAACCCUACAGAGCCGGAAAGUGGGGGCAAUUGCCCGCCCCCCCCCCCCCCUUCCACUGCUUCCCCGCUCAGUGCCAAGUGUUACACCUCAUCCUAAUCUACCCUGUCCAGUUCAACAGGUGAUACAGGGAGGGGAGCACACGACACACCAGGUGGGGGGAUACGGCAGAGGGGACAUCACCGUCACCCCCACCAUGUGUCCGGUUCCCCC